AGAGAAUUGACUGAGUGGUUUAAGGUGAUAAGCUUGAGACUUAUUUGAUUUAAUAAUCACAUCCGUUCAAAUCGGAUAUUCUCUG
rnacentral:tRNA from 1 species